UAAGAGGUCCCGCCUGCCCUGUGACUCUGGGUUUAACGGCCGCGGUAUCUUAACCGUGCGAAGGUAGCGUAAUCACUUGUCUCUUAAAUAGAGACCUGUAUGAAUGGCAUGACGAGGGCUUAGCUGUCUCCUUUCUCAAGUUAAUGAAAUUGACCUCCCCGUGCAGAGGCGGGGAUAUUAUCAUAAGACGAGAAGACCCUAUGGAGCUUUAGGUGUAAAAACUGCUCAUGUAAUCAACCCCUAAUAAAGGGACUUAACCUUAUGACCACAGUUUGGAUGCCUUUGGUUGGGGCGACCGCGGGGAAACAAAAAACCCCCACGUGGACUGGGACCCUACGUCCUAAAAACAAGAGCACCCGCUCUAAUUAACAGAACUUCUGACCUUACUGACCCGGCACCCGCCGAUCAACGGACCCAGUUACCCUAGGGAUAACAGCGCAAUCCUCUUAUAGAGCCCAUAUCGACAAGGGGGUUUACGACCUCGAUGUUGGAUCAGGAUAUCCUAAUGGUGCAGCCGCUAUUAAGGUU
rnacentral:rRNA from 1 species